AUUGAACGCUGGCGGCAGGCCUAACACAUGCAAGUCGAACGAGUGGCGGACGGGUGAGUAAUGUCUGGGAAACUGCCUGAUGGUGGGGGAUAACUACUGGAAACGGUAGCUAAUACCGCAUACCAUCGGAUGUGCCCAGGUGGGAUGAGCUAGUAGGUGGGGUAAAGGCUCACCUAGGCGACGAUCCCUAGCUGGUCUGAGAGGAUGACAAGCCAAACUGGAACAGAGACACGGGCAAGACUCCUACGGGAGGAAGCAGUGGGGAAUAGGGCACAAUGGGCGAAAGCCUGAUGCAGCCAUGCCGCGUGUAUGAAGAAGGCCUGCGGGUUGUAAAGUACUUUAAGCGGGGAGGCGUUACCCGCAGAAGAAGCACCGGCUAACUCCGUGCCAGCAGCCGCGGUAAUAC
rnacentral:rRNA from 1 species